rnacentral:rRNA from 1 species
CCUACGGGAGGCAGCAGUGAGGAAUAUUGGUCAAUGGGCGCAAGCCUGAACCAGCCAAGUCGCGUGAGGGAUGACGGUCCUAUGGAUUGUAAACCUCUUUUGUCGGGGAGCAAGGCCCGCCACGUGUGGCGGGAAGGAGAGUACCCGCAGAAAAAGCAUCGGCUAACUCCGUGCCAGCAGCCGCGGUAAUACGGAGGAUGCGAGCGUUAUCCGGAUUUAUUGGGUUUAAAGGGUGCGUAGGCGGAAGGUUAAGUCAGCGGUCAAAUGUCGGUGCCCAACACCGGCCUGCCGUUGAAACUGGUCGUCUUGAGUGAGCGAGAAGUAUGCGGAAUGCGUGGUGUAGCGGUGAAAUGCAUAGAUAUCACGCAGAACUCCGAUUGCGAAGGCAGCAUACCGGCGCUCAACUGACGCUGAGGCACGAAAGCGUGGGGAUCGAACAGGAUUAGAUACCCUAGUAGUC